rnacentral:rRNA from 1 species
UACAGAGGGUGCAAGCGUUAAUCGGAAUUACUGGGCGUAAAGCGUGCGUAGACGGUUACAUAAGUCGGGUGUGAAAGCCCCGGGCUCAACUGGGGAGGGUCACGCGAUACUGAUCGACUCGAAGGCAGGAGAGGGUAGUGGAAUUCCCGGUGUAGUGGUGAAAUGCGUAGAUAUCGGGAGGAACACCAGUGGCGAAGGCGACUACCUGGCCUGUUUCUUGACGCUGAGGCGCGAAAGCUAGGGGAGCAAACGGG